rnacentral:rRNA from 1 species
UGGGGAAUAUUGCGCAAUGGGCGAAAGCCUGACGCAGCAACGCCGCGUGAGUGAAGAAGGCCUUCGGGUUGUAAAGCUCUUUCGGUUGGGAAGAAGGGUGUAAUAGUGAAUAAUUAUUACAUUUGAUGGUACCAAAAGAAGAAGCACCGGCAAACUUCGUGCCAGCAGCCGCGGUAAUACGAAGGGUGCAAGCGUUGUUCGGAAUUAUUGGGCGUAAAGGGUUCGUAGGCGGGACUGAAAGUCAAGUGUGAAAUCUUCGAGCUUAACUCGAAACGUGCAUUUGAAACUCCAGUUCUUGAGUCACAGAGAGGGUAAUGGAAUUGUUGGUGUAGGAGUGACAUCCGUAGAGAUCAACAGGAACAUCAGAGGCGAAAGCGGUUACCUGGCUGUGCACUGACGC